AUGCUUUUCAUUCUGGCAAUAGACCCAUUGCAGCAGAUUCUUCGUCUCACCACUGAGCAGGGCAUCCUCAAGCCCAUCCGCGCUCGUUCCGCCAGAUGUAGAAUCUCUCUCUUUUCGGAUGAUGCAGGCAUCUUUGCCAACCCUGAUAAGGAGGAGCUGCGGGCGAUCUCGGCCAUACUGAAAGCCUUUGGGGAGGCUAGUGGCCUAAUCACGAACCUGUCAAAGACCGAGGUUUUUCCGAUACGGUGUGGGGACAAUGACCUCCAGGACAUACUCACCGUCUUCCCCGCCAAGAUUGCCAGCUUCCCAGGACGCUACCUCGGACUUCCAUUGCACCAUCGUUGGGUCCGGAGGGUUGACCUCCAACCUUUCAUCGACAAGAUUGUGGGUAGACUGCCGGGUUGGAAAGGAAAGCUACUAAAUAAGCCCGGCAGGGUCGCUCUGGCUCAAUCAGUUCUAACGGCUAUGGCGACUUUCCACAUCUCCGCUCUCAGCCUGCCGAAAUGGAUCCUGCGAAAAGUUGAGAAGAUCAUUCGCAGGUUUAUAUGGCAGAAAGAGGACCAAACGCAAACUUCUGGAGGGCACUCCCUAGUUAACUCGAAGACCGUCUGUUGUCCAAGGAGGAUGGGCGGCCUGGGAAUCGCAGACCUUGAGCGUUUUGGCCGCGCCCUCUGCCUUCGCUGGCCCUGGUUACAAUGGACGGACCCGGAGAGGCCAUGGGUGGGCACUGACCUG
rnacentral:rRNA from 1 species